rnacentral:rRNA from 1 species
UACGUAGGGGGCAAGCGUUAUCCGGAUUUACUGGGUGUAAAGGGAGCGCAGACGGCAGUGCAAGUCUGGAGUGAAAGCCCGGGGCCCAACCCCGGAACUGCUCUGGAAACUGUGCGGCUAGAGUACUGGAGGGGCAGGCGGAAUUCCUAGUGUAGCGGUGAAAUGCGUAGAUAUUAGGAGGAACACCAGUGGCGAAGGCGGCCUGCUGGACGAUGACUGACGUUGAGGCUCGAAAGCGUGGGGAGCAAACAGG